CCAGGCAUGUGUUAGCACAUUCAGGUACCUUUUUGAACACUGUAAUUAUGGAAGUGUCAGUGAAGAUGCCCUGCCACUCACCCAGGAUAUCAAAACAGACAACAAAUGCCCAACUGCCUGGGCUAUGUGUUACAAGCCAAGUUCUGCGGAUGGAAUCUAUGUCCUCGUCCUCAUAUGUGCUAGCAUGUAUGUCUAUGUGAGGUUGUUGAAUUCCCUAGAACCAGAGUUGCAAACACUUGUGAGUUGCCAUGUGGGUGCUGGGAAUUGCUCCCCCCCCAAAAAAAAAUAAAAAGGCGAGCAAGUAAGCAAGCAAACAGACUUGAGCAAACCAUGAAGAGCAAGGCAGUAAGCAGCAUUUCUCCAUUACCUCAGAGUCAGUUCCAGCUUCCAGGUUCCUGUCUUGGCUUCCCUCAGUGAUGGACUUAUA
rnacentral:lncRNA from 1 species